GCCUUGCAAUGGGAGACUCUGUGCAGCAACGCCGCGUGAACGAAGAAGGCUUUCGAGUCGUAAAGUUCUGUUAUAGGGGAAGAAGAAGUGACGGUACCCUAUGAGAAAGCCACGGCUAAUUACGUGCCAGCAGCCGCGGUAAUACGUAAGUGGCAAGCGUUAUCCGGAAUUACUGGGCAUAAAGAGUUCGUAGGCGGUUAAUCAAGCCAGCUAGUGAAAGCCAUCGGCCUAACCGAUGUCAGCUAAUGGAACUGGUUAACUUGAGUACAGGAGAGGAAAGUGGAAUUCCUAGUGUAGUAGUGAAAUGCGUAGAUAUUAGGAAGAACAUCAGUAGCGAAGGCGACUUUCUGGACUGUAACUGACGCUGAGGAACGAAAGCGUGGGGAGCGAACAGGAUUAGAUACCCUGGUAGUCCACGCCGUAAACGAUGGAUACUUGGUGUUGGCCGUAAAGGUCGGUGCCGGAGCAAAUGUAUUAAGUAUCCCGCCUGGGGAGUACGGUCGCAAGGCUGAAACUCAAAAGAAUUGACGGGGACCCGCACAAGCAGCGGAGCAUGUGGUUUAAUUCGAAGCAACGCGAAGAACCUUACCAAAUCUUGACAUAUCAAAGCUAUCUGAGUAAAAUUGGAGUUCCAUUUGGACUUUGAAUACAGGUGGUGCAUGGUUGUCGUCAGCUCGUGUCGUGAGAUGUUGGGUUAAGUCCCGUAACGAGCGCAACCCUUAUUUUUAGUUGCUAACAGGUCAAGCUGAGGACUCUAGAGAGACUGCCGAUGAAAAAAUCGGAGGAAGGUGGGGAUGACGUCAAAUCAUCAUGCCCCUUAUGAUUUGGGCUACACACGUGCUACAAUGGCCCGGUACAACGGGUAAGCGAAAGGGUGACCUGGAGCCAAUCUCA
rnacentral:rRNA from 1 species